UUACAUAAAUAUUUACACUACAUCAUCAUGAAAUGUCCUCUUCCUUUCUUCACAUAUAAGUAGAAAGAAAACUAUGACAAUAAGAAACUCUUCUUGCACUUGUCCAAUCACAUUACAACCAAAAGAAGAAGAAGUGAGAUAUCUAUAGAAGAAAAGAAGCAAAGCCCUGAAGAAAAAAUGUCUACUUAGAGAUAUGAUGCUUAAGCCAAGCAAACUUGCAAAAAAUUAUCUUGCUGCACAUGUCAAAGUUGCUUCCGGAAUUGUUCCAAUAUGUGGCCAAAAUGUAGAGGGGAUUUCAUUUAUGUCCAUUUGAUUAAUAAAAUGAAUCAGGCGUUCUCUCCCUGGCCUUGUUGGUAAUUUGCUGAGAAAAAAAAAUUCUUCAUGAGGAGGCAAGCAUCAUAACUGGCUAAGAUGCCUUUAUCUUCUUCAUUGAAGUUAACACUUUUGCUAUUUCCUGAACUUCUUUCUUACUGCUUCUAGUAUUUCUGUCUUGUUUACAAAGACUAAUUCUCAAGACAUCUUAUAUAUUUUGCCUUUAGUCUAUGACAUCUAACAUCAUCCUGGUUCAAUUCCAAUGUAUAUCCAUUUUUUAGGGUAGGGUAAUUCCACCGAGUUCUUAUAUACCUAGUAGGGUUCCUAUAUCCUAGCUCAUACCUAAAAAAAUAGCUUCGUAAUUUCUGCAGCAAAACUUAGCUUUUCUUCACCUCUAUGAUGGUCAUGUGCAAUUCAUAUGUAUGUUAUGAAGAUUUGCACUCUAGAGAUUUUUUUUUCGGAUAAUUGCAUUUUUUGUCCCUCAGUAAUUGGUAAAAGUUGAAUUUGAUCAUUGUGAUCCCCAACAUUGAACAUCUAACCUUAACAAUUUUAAAUGUUUGCUUUGGUCCUUCAGUAACAAACUCUCACAAAGCCUCGACUGCUUUAGCUGUAUGUAUACUUAUUUUUUAGCAUAUCCACGUUUUGAGGAUAUUUGCUGAGAUUUCUUGGACCUGUUGUUUUUUUUUUGCAAAUACUCACUGCAUGGUUCUUUCUGUGAUUACUCUCCAUGCUUUUCCUGUUUGAUUUGUUUUUUAUGGUUGUACAUUAGAUGAUUUUGUCUUACUGCUGUAAAAGGAAGUGGUCGUCUAAAAUUGUAGGGAAGUCCUUUAUCUUCAAUACUCUUUACAUCUUAUUACUGUUUCUCAGCGAUUGGAAAAUAGCUUUGAAAAGGUCAGGAAUUUUUUAUUAAGAUUCUUGCUGGUACAUAUAGAGAACCACAUUGAUUUUGGUCCUAGAUGCAAUGGCUGUUAAAUCUGAGGUAGUUGUAUAAGUUAUAACAACGGACAAUGGUACUUCUUGGUUGCAGAAAAUUAACUGAUGGACUCACUGAAUAUACCAGAUAAAUCUGUAAGUUAGCUGACGUUGUUGAUCUUAUAUAAGAUCGAAAGCAGUAUCGUGGGAGCUAACUGCAGGGCUAGCUAUUCUGUAACCAUAUUGAACUGAAGUGUCUAGAGCAAGGAGCGAAGCAGUUGGAGUUCUUUUUAUAAGGGUACCAUUUCCAGGUAUAUGAUACUGAGAACUCUCAAGAAUCUAGCUCAUGAUAGUCCUUUCGCUCGUUCUAUCUCAUACAACAUGACAGCAGCAGCUAGCUGAUUUCAAAGAGCCUGUGUGGAUUUGCAGUACUAAACUCUAAAGUAAAUGGUUCCCUUCAUCUCAACAAGUCAACUUGAGUACAAGAGCACGUUUCCAUUGUACUGAAGGUCUAUAAGAAAAGAAAAAUAACUCAUCCUGUGGAAAUCCUGACCUCGUGGAAUGUUCUCUCUUCAUAAAAGUCUUUUAUGUAUUAUUUGACACAUGGAACAUCAAGUACGAGCAAUACUGAAACAAAAGUCGUGCAUGUUACACAAUUCAGGUUUGGAGAGUCAAACAUUUUAUGAAUACUAUUGGUUA